GAUGAAGAACGCAGCGAAAUGCGAUAAGUAAUGUGAAUUGCAGAAUUCAGUGAAUCAUCGAAUCUUUGAACGCACAUUGCGCCCUCUGAUAUUCCGGGGGGCAUGCCUGUUCGAGCGUCAUUAUAACCACUCAAGCUCUCGCUUGGUAUUGGGGCUCGCGGUUCCGCGGCCCCUAAAAUCAGUGGCGGUGCCUGUCGGCUCUACGCGUAGUAAUACUCCUCGCGAUUGAGUCCGGUAGGUCUACUUGCCAGCAACCCCCAAUUUUUACAGGUUGACCUCGGAUCAGGUAGGGAUACCCGCUGAACUUAAGCAUAUCAAUAAGCGGAGGA
rnacentral:misc_RNA from 1 species